GAGGGUAUAGCUCAAGUGGUAGAGGGCAUGCUUAGAAUGCACAAGAUCCUGGGUUCAAUCCCCAGUACCUCCU
rnacentral:tRNA from 1 species